CACAUUCCCAAGCCAACUCUUAACCAACGCGCCACUCGGCCGGCCCAAUGUUUACUAUUGUCAUUACAUCACAGACCUUCCUUUAUCGUCCUCUCGCCCAGUAGAAUGCAAGCUCCCUGAGAGCAGUCUUUUGUCUGUUUUGUCUACUGCACAGUAGCUGUGCUGUUGAAUGAAUGAGCAAACGGCUGGCUGACGUAUUUUCCUUAUUGAAUGCCCUCCUGGAAGCCUCCCGGGAAGAAGAGUUAAUGAAGGAUGGAAGUGACCCUGUGCCUUCCCGACGACAUGGUCCGCUCGCCCUCGAGGAGGAGUCACUGGUCUUCUAAUCAGGGGCCCUGCAGGUUUGGAGCUCGGUGGACCCUCUGUGGUCACAGUACUUUCGGAGAAUGUGAAACAGCCACUCUCUUCUCGAAAUCCCAACUCGGGACUUCCUGAAGGCGAGCCUAGCUUUGGGGUAGGACCUCAGUGUCUGUCCUUCUAGGGUAAGACACCCAAUUUGCGGUGCAUGUGCUCAUGGCCUCACCACUACCCAUGUCUGGCUGACGCCAGCUCAGGGGAUGGUCCCUCGUGCCAUUUGAGCUGUGCAUGGUACUCUCUCAUGACAAAUCAUGUUCCACUUACAUGUGGGGGGUUCCUGGGAUAUAGUGCCAGCCUCUGCAGAGACAGAGGAAUUGGUGUCAGCACCAGUUGGGGUGAGGGGCACACAGCCAGACCCUGGAGGCAGUGCUGCCUUCGGUGAAGAGGUGCCUAGGUGGUCUCGCCCGUGCUGACGUUUGAGCCUUGAGCAGAGGUUGCCCUUGGUGAAUUCGCUUUGUUUAUGUUGAAUCACACAAAGGCAACUUUUGUUUGAGUAUCAAAUCUUGCUGGGAUGGCUUCCGGGACCCGGUGGCAAGCUCAGGGUCUCUGCCUCUCCCAUGAACAAGACCGGAUGGUGUAGGUGGGUGUCUGCACCUCCAGUGGAUGAGAACGGAGGGUGACCAGAGGACACCAGCUCGAUUCAUGGUGCAGCUCACCUGGGGUGUGUGAGGACGGCGUCGAUGCUGAACCUGCUUCACUUAUGACCAGGGACCCUCUUUACACCACCGUUUUGACCAUUGAUCUGAAAGACCUCUGCCACUGUUUCUCCGAAGGUAUUUUGACCUUGUGGGUAAGGAAAAAAAAGUUACACUCCACCGUUUGAAAGGCUGCAGCUUCUCAUUCUGUUUCUCUCUCUGCCUCUCUCAGAAACCCCUCUUGUGUUCUUUAUCUUUGUGACUUUUCCCCUCUCUCACUCCUCUCUCUCCCUGCCUCUUUCUCUCUCUUUCUAUCCCCUGCCAAACAGCGUUCUCAAUUUUCUCAUGGGUUAUGAAAUGAAUAGAAUCUAUUAGUAUUCCAUCCCAUUUGUAUUAAAUUAUAGUGAUAAAAAUAAUCAACACAAAGUAAAACUAAAAACAACUGAAAUGGCACAGAGUAAAACAUGUUCAAUUGCCUACAAAUUGGCAGAAGAAUCCAAUUUUUCUGACAGCAUUUCAGCGGCCACAUUUGACCUGGGGAAAUAGAAAGCUGUAGACAUGGUGGCCGCAGGAGGAAAUUGACGGUGGCAGCAGCUCCGAACGGAGAUAUUUGAUGUAGACAAAAGCACAUGGAGAAAUCAAAUCUGCAUUCAGAUUUUUAAAUGGAAAAGAAUUGAUUCUAAUGAAAAUGAUUUUGGGAAAAUAACAAGGGAAAUAAAAGAAAUGAAAACAGCCCAACAGCACAGUCAGGAAAGCUAAACAGGGAAUUGGAUUAGUGUAAUGGAAUUCACUCUGAAAAACACAUUUUUAUGAAAAUCAGUGUUGGCACAGUUCUCAUUAAGAUGGUUGAAUCCGUAUGUGUUUGGAGUGGAGUCGAUGGGUCAGUAGGAACAUGGGGUCAGAGCCCACUGUCCUUUACUGCUGCUGACAUUCUGUUUCUGUCCCAAAUCUUCCCAGAGUGCUUCUGGGAUGGGCAUUCUGACUUCAGGGGUGACACACUGGUCAAGUGGGUGCACUGGACCAGAGCGUGUGCCAUCUGGGUGGCGUGCAUCACUUGGUCGGCUCUCUCUUGGUAUCCCUCCAUCCCCUGGGGUUCUGGGUGGCACGCUGAUCCCAAGUGAGACAGACAGCCUAGGUCAGUGGGGUCUGGGCCUCCAGGACAGCUGCGUCCAGCACUGGUGUUGAACACACAGGGCGGCUAGGACAUUCCCAGCUGUUAUCCUUCUUUGGACCCAGUGUUGGCACCUCUCAGAGAGCCAUGCUGACCCCAAGGACAUGCUCCUCAUUGGUGCACAUGUCACUUGGUCAUAGAGGCUGAGCCUUGUUUGGGAGGUAGUCUUGGGGUUGGUGCUUCUGGGAUUGAAAUCAUGGCCUGGGGUGUGAAGAGAGCUUGUUCUUGGCUGGCAUGAACGCUGCAUGGUGGGUCUCUUUCCAGGUCAGCCGCUGACUUGGAGGACUUCCAGAAGCCAUGCCACCCUCAGGAGGUGGCCAGCAGGGGGAGCCCUCCCCAGGGUAGGUGCAUGGGGGUGGCCCUAGGACAUGCCCUGACUGUGUUGGUGAUGUAUGUCAUCUGGUCCACUAGCCGGCGCUGUCCAGCCCGUUCUCAUGAGCACUUCUGGAGGUGAUGCGAUGGCAGCUCGGGGAGAGAGCCCGCAUGGCAGGGCCGCUCCGGGAGGCGCCCGUCGUUGCUGCGGCAGCCACAGUCCCUGGGUCAGCGUUACUUUGGGUACUUGAGGAGAGGUUGUCUGUGAUGAGUUCGCUUUAUUAAUGACGAAUAUAACACAGAUGGCCUGUUUUCAUUACCACCCACACCUUGUGCGCAGGGCCAGGCCUGAGGCUGGCCACCUCUAGGGUUGCCUGUGAGGUGUUCACUUUCUACACGAUGAAUAUUAUACAGUCAACCUCUUCCCGGUAUCGACUCCCGCCGUGGACGACCUCCACUUCAGGUGCUGACUCCAGGCGGCAGAAGCCCCUGUGUCGUUGACCCGUGGACUUGGCGUAGGACCUGGGCCACGUGGCCUGUUAUUUUCCAGCUCCACCUGUUCCGGAGGGAUUCCCAAAGCACCACGGAGCGGCCUCCCUGGUUCCGGAGUCGGUGGUUCCCGACGUCCGUGUUCCUGACACUUCCCUCUUCACUGGGCACCCUGGCCCUGCCCCAGCCCUGUCCAGACCACGUCAGGGUCACCUGGCGGAGGAAAAAGGUCCCGGGUCAUGGAAAGGUGAACUCCAAGAACACCUCCAAAGGAUAAGCCUGGCAGUCUGGUAUUUGCUCAUGGUCUCCUGGGCCUCAGGAAGCCCCCUCUGAGCAGGACUGCCAUCUCCAGCUCCGUGUACACCUUUUCCCUGGGGCUUACUCGGGCCAAGGAUCCCUCUGUGCCCAGUGUGUGGGGAGGGGCUGCCCCACCUAGUGUCCCAAGGCCCCACCUGGCCACCCUCAGUCCCUGCACUCCCUUCCUCGCGUGAUUCACAGUAUGUCCCCUGUUUGUGUCCAUCCAUCCUCCUUUGGGAGCUGGAUCCUGGGUGGCCCCAUCUGUGCACGUGGCUGUCAGCCUCCUCCUGUCCAGGAUCUAGGCCUCCCUUCCUUGGCCCCCACCCUCACGCCCCACGUCCCCCUUUCUCGGGACACUCAGCACAGUCUCUUGCUCACGCCCCUUUUCCCCCAAGGAGCCCCUUUUCCAGAGUAGGGCUUCUGGGUGCUGGAGGGGAGGAAAUGUCUGUUGCUCAGCAAGGCUGUCUCUGAUCAACCGGCCUCUCCCUGUCACUUUUUGUCCCCGUUAUCAUUUUCAUCCUCGCUUACUGCUAUCCAAAAGUACCUGGUGUUAACGCUUAUUUUUUCUCUCCCCCUAAACUGUAAGAUUUCUCAGGGUGGGUUUUUUUUUGUCCUGUGGGACGCAGGAGGCCCACAGUAGAGGAGCUCUGAGUGUUUAUUGACUAACAAACGCAGGGGCCUUACCAGGUUAAUCCCAGGAAAGAGCCAGGCACAAAGGAGGUACCCAGGAAGACGUGAGGCACACAUGAACAUGAUAACCAGUUCUUAGAAAUUCUUCACGUUCAUUGAAAGCUGUUUGGUUUCAGCUUUUUCUGCCCCUUCGAGGAUGUCAUUUGAGAGUCUGAAGUUUGCUGCAACAGGGGCAGGUCAGCUGGGUCUGGGCUCUUCUCUCCAGUUUCUAGGGGGUCCCCUGGGACCCCCAAAAGAGUGAUGAGCCCCAGUAUAGCCCUGCAGACACCAAUUGAGCACUCCCAAGCCUUCCAGUAAAUUCUACAGCGCUCCGAGCUGGCUGCUCUGGGGAACUCCAUCUCCAACAGGCUGGAGCAUGGUGUCAGAGCUAAUAUUUUAUGCAUGGAACUACUAAAUGGGGACAUUUGGAGAUGAAAAUUGCUGUUAAUGCAUUGACACAUCUUUGGAAUAUAUUAAAUAUAUGUGUGGGGGCAGGAGGCACCGUUAGCCUUAUUUAAUGGCUCCAGUGGAACCGUCCCCACACGGAAGCAUUCACAAGCACAACCCCCCCAACUGCGCCCCCUGCCCCAAAUCUCCCAGGCCACCGCUGGGAGAAGCGUUGAGUACAUUAGCCGCCCUUUGAGAAUUAUGCAUGAGACACAGUGUCAGCCCAGGGUACCAGACAUUCGGCAGUGUGCAUGUUCCGAACCCAUUUUAGACCCAGUGACGGUGACCCCAUAUUGCUCGGUGCAGAAUGUCAUUACAUGCUCAAUUACUGGUUUACCUAUUGUUUGAGGAGAAGAGAAAAUAAACAAAGGGCCUUUCUCAUCUGACAAGCCGGAGGAAAAUGUCUGUCCUAGCAGCGGCCAGGAUGAGAGCCGCUGAGGGCCCCUGGGCCAGAGGUUCGGUGGUGGGGGCCAUCUCCAAGGCCUGCGCGUACCCAGCCUCGGGUCAGUUUCACUCGGUGAACACCGCUUCCCGGUGUCUGCCUGGGGAAGGCCCUGUCUCCCUCAAGUGCGUCUCCUAGACAUUCCACAAGUGCGGUUUUUAGAAUUGGGAAGUUGUUGGACAGACUGGACCUGUAUUCCCUUCCCCUUACUGCUUUCAAGGGGAGAUAGGAAGCAAAAGAAUAGCUGCCCUGAAUGGGCUUUAGCCUUGACCUUGGUCCCAUCUCCAGUCUCGGGGGUUUGCUCACUGCUCCCCAUCAGCCCUGGAGGUGCAGGCUCUGAUUUACAGAUGAGGAAACGGGGCACAGAGAGCCAGAAACUCGUCCAAAGUCACUCGAGUGGGAGCUGGGGCGGGGUCUGGCUCCAAGCUUCUCAUUCUUAGCCACUCUGCCCACGGCAAGCCGCAUGCUUUAGGAAUAGCCCCUUUGCCCUAGAGCAGCGGUUCUCAGCCUUCCUAAUGCCACGACCCCUUCAUACAGUUCCUCAUGUUGUGGUGACC